rnacentral:rRNA from 1 species
AGACAGCAGUAGCCGCGGUAACACGAAGGGGGCUAGCGUUGCUCGGAAUCACUGGGCGUAAAGCGUGCGCAGGCGGUUGUGUAAGACAGGUGUGAAAUCCCCGGGCUUAACCUGGGAACUGCGCUUGUGACUGCACAGCUAGAGUAUGGCAGAGGGGGGUGGAAUUCCACGUGUAGCAGUGAAAUGCGUAGAGAUGUGGAGGAACACCGAUGGCGAAGGCAGCCCCCUGGGCCAAUACUGACGCUCAUGCACGAAAGCGUGGGGAGCAACCAGGAUUAGAUACCCCGGUAGUCCCUGUCUCUUAUAC